AUGAAAUCAUUCCUUACAAUUAUAUUAAACAACAUGUACAGCAUAACAAACAUAAAAUUCAAUAAAUUACAAAACUGAACAUUAUGGCAAUUUAACGAAAAAACUAAACAAGGGGCAUGGCAUAUGUUUUUUGACGGUUGCAUUUUUUACCUUCUCAGAAUCAAUCAUCUCUUCUCCUGUAAUAGAAGUGACACAUGUUGUAUCAAGCCUUCCAAAACCAGCUCUCAAUCGGGGCAUAGGGGACACAUUCCGAUACUGUCGUAUGAAAUUUUCGAGCAAGAAAUAGAGAGCAAUGAGCAGGAAGAAGGCGAAGGUCGCGGAGAGAAACACUAGAGGGUGCGGUGAGAUUACUGCCAUCGCUAGAGCAUAAGAAAUGCACAGAGAUGUGCCAAUCCAAAAGAACCAAAGUACAAACAAACUACCAAGUGGUAUGAGACAAAAGGUGUAGAGUAUAGCGCAGCCGAAGCCUAAGGCGUUGAAAAGCCAAAUAAGGAUGAAGAAUGUUGUUAUGUGAUGAGAUUCAAAAGAUGUAAAGACUGAUUUUAUUGAAUGAAAAGAGUUUGCUUGAUCAACACGAACGAGUACAAAGGAAAUACUAGAGAUACUAUCUCUCCAUGAACAUGAUGA
rnacentral:lncRNA from 1 species